GUGUCAGCCGCCGCGGUAAUACGUAUGGGGCUAGCGUUAUCCGGAUUUAUUGGGCGUAAAGAGCGCGUAGGCGGUUUGUUAAGUCAGAUGUGAAAACCGGGGGCUCAACCCGCGGCCUGCAUCUGAAACUGGCAGACUUGAGUCUGGUAGAGGAAAGUGGAAUUCCUAGUGUAGCGGUGAAAUGCGCAGAUAUUAGGAGGAACACCAGUGGCGAAGGCGGCUUUCUGGGCCACGACUGACGCUGAGGCGCGAAAGCUAGGGGAGCAAACAGGAUUAGAAACCCCCGUAGUCC
rnacentral:rRNA from 1 species